AUGUUGUCUCGCCAAGUUUGGAGGUUGAUCCAGGCACCGGACUCGCUCUGUGCUCGUGUUCUUCGUGCUAAAUACUACCCAGACGGUGACAUUUUUGCAGCUACAGCGACCCCGGGCAUCAGUUAUGUUUGGCGGAGCAUCCUUCAAGGAGUGUCCGUCGUGAAGAAGGGGAUGGUGUGGAGGGUGGGUUCAGGUGAGCAUAUCCGGAUCUGGCAGGACCCCUGGCUCCCUGCUGGUGUUGUUCGGUUUCCAAGGUCUCCCCGUCGCAAUACCAUCCUGACUAAAGUCUCAGAGCUUAUCGACCCGUAUACACACUCCUGGGAUGAGUUGUUGGUUAGACAAACGUUCAAUCCGGAAGAGACUGAUAUGAUACUAAAGAUUCCAAUUUUUGAGCAACAUGAGGACUUCUUGGCUUGGCAAUUCGAUAGCAAGGGCUUAUUUUUAGUGAGGUCAGCGUACAGAGUUCACCUUGACAUGAAGAAACGGUUGGCCCCUAGGCAGCAGGGUGAGGGCGCCGACGGUGAUACAACUUAUGGGAAAAUGUGGCAGAACCUCUGGAAGAUUAGAUGUACCGGGAAAGUGCAUCAUUUUUUGUGGAGAGUUGCUCAUAAUAGUCACCCUAUGUUGAGGAAUAUUGAACGGAUUGGGAUCAAACUCGAUACUAGUUGUGUCCUUUGCCAUAGAUUACCGGAGGAUGGCGGACAUCUUUUUUUAUGUAAGGAGGUGAAGAAGAUUUGGCGUGUGUGUGAGUUGGAGUCGUCCCGGUUAAACCUCCUGUAUUGUCAGUCACCGAGCGAUAUCCUCGCCACCAUAUUUGCCCUUCCAGAGGACAGGAAGCUGAGAAUCAUAUGCCUUCUGUGGCUGUGGUGGACGGAGAGGAAUAAAGCCAAUCAUAAGCAAAAGAGAGCUACACCUGAGGAGUUUUGCUUCCUUUUGGAGAAGCAUGUUGCUGAAUGGCGUGUCUUUUAUGCAAAACCAGAGAAAGCGCAGAUUCAGAACAAACCUCAGUGGAGCAAACCGAUGGUGGAUAAGGUUAAAAUUCAUAUUGACGGUGCUUUUGAUGCUGCUAAACAAACCUCAGGUUGGGGCUGUGUGGCCCGGGACCAUACAGGUGAGGUGUUGUUUGCUGCUGCUGGAAGGCUUGUGCAGAUAAGUGAAGCUCUGCACACUGAAGCAACUGCGCUGUUGCACGCCAUACACUUAGCUGACCAGCAUGGUAUGGGGCGUGUCAUUUUUGAGACAAACUGCCUUGGACUUGCUCAAGCCAUUAAUUCCACGGUGCUUGACCGCUCCAAUCUUGGUGUUGUCUUCCAUGAGGCUAGAUAUCUCCUACGAGCGAGUUUUAACGAGUGGAGCAUUGUUCACUGUCCAAGGGAUUGUAACAAGCUUGCCCAUGAGUUGGCAACUAUAGGUAGAUGCAUUGAAUAG
rnacentral:rRNA from 1 species